AUUGAACGCUGGCGGCAGGCCUAACACAUGCAAGUCGAACGAGUGGCGGACGGGUGAGUAAUGUCUGGGAAACUGCCUGAUGGAGGGGGAUAACUACUGGAAACGGUAGCUAAUACCGCAUACCAUCAGAUGUGCCCAGAUGGGAUUAGCUUGUGGGUGGGGUAACGGCUCACCAAGGCGACGAUCCCUAGCUGGUCUGAGAGGAUGACCAGCCACACUGGAAUUGGGAAACGGUCCAGACUCCUACGGGAGGAAGAAGUGGGGAAUAUUGCACAAUGGGGGAAAGCCUGCUGCAGCAAUGCGGCGUGGAGGAAGAAGGUCUUCGGGUUGUAAAGUACUUUCAGCGGGGAGGCGUUACCCGCAGAAGAAGCACCGGCUAACUCCGUGCCAGCAGCCGCGGUAAUUC
rnacentral:rRNA from 1 species